rnacentral:rRNA from 1 species
CGGACGGGUGAGGAAUACAUCGGAAUCUACUCUGUCGUGGGGGAUAACGUAGGGAAACUUACGCUAAUACCGCAUACGACCUACGGGUGAAAGCAGGGGAUCUUCGGACCUUGCGCGAUUGAAUGAGCCGAUGUCGGAUUAGCUAGUUGGCGGGGUAAUGGCUCACCAAGGCGACGAUCCGUAACUGGUCUGAGAGGAUGAUCAGUCACACUGGAACUGAGACACGGUCCAGACUCCUACGGGAGGCAGCAGCC